UGACGUCUGGACCCAGGCCCUGACCUGGU
rnacentral:piRNA from 1 species